GAAUGCAUCGAGAUCGAAAGCUCCGGCGCCUAAGGAUGGGUCUGCGGCCUAUCAGGUAGUAGUGGGUGUAGCGUACCUACUGGCCUACGACGGGUACGGGUUGUGAGAGCAAGAGCCCGGAGAUGGAUUCUGAGACACGAAUCCAGGCCCUACGGGGUGCAGCAGGCGCGAAAACUUUACAAUGCUGGAAACAGCGAUAAGGGGACCUCGAGUGCCAGGUUACAAAUCUGGCUGUCGUGAUGCCUAAAAAGCAUUGCAUAGCAAGGGCCGGGCAAGACCGGUGCCAGCCGCCGCGGUAACACCGGCGGCUCGAGUGGUAACCGUUAUUAUUGGGUCUAAAGGGUCUGUAGCCGGCCGGAUAAGUCUCUUGGGAAAUCCAGCAGCUCAACUGUUGGGCUUUCAGGAGAUACUGUCUGGCUCGAGGCCGGGAGAGGUGAGAGGUACUUCAGGGGUAGGGGUGAAAUCUUGUAAUCCUUGAAGGACCACCAGUGGCGAAGGCGUCUCACCAGAACGGACCUGACGGCAAGGGACGAAAGCUAGGGGCACGAACCGGAUUAGAUACCCGGGUAGUCCUAGCCGUAAACGAUACUCGCUAGGUGUCGGCCACGGUGCGACCGUUGUCGGUGCCGUAGGGAAGCCGUGAAGCGAGCCACCUGGGAAGUACGGCCGCAAGGCUGAAACUUAAAGGAAUUGGCGGGGGAGCACCACAACGGGUGGAGCUUGCGGUUUAAUUGGAGUCAACGCCGGG
rnacentral:rRNA from 1 species